CCUACGGGCCGCACCAGUGGGGAAUAUUGCACAAUGGGUGCAAGCCUGAUGCAGCCAUGCCGCGUGUGUGAAGAAGGCCUUCGGUUGUAAAGCACUUUCAGCGAGGAGGAAGGUGGUGAGCUUAAUACGCUCAUCAAUUGACGUUACUCGCAGAAGAAGCACCGGCUAACUCCGCGCCUGCAGCCGCGGUAAUACGGAGGGUGCAAGCGUUAAUCGGAAUUACUGGGCGUAAAGCGCACGCAGGCGGUUUGUUAAGUCAGAUGUGAAAUCCCCGGGCUCAACCUGGGAACUGCAUUUGAAACUGGCAAGCUAGAGUCUCGUAGAGGGGGGUAGAAUUCCAGGUGUAGCGGUGAAAUGCGUAGAGAUCUGGAGGAAUACCGGUGGCGUAGGCGGCCCCCUGGACGAAGACUGACGCACAGGUGCGAAAGCGUGGGGAGCAAACAGGAUUAGAUACCCUUGUAGUC
rnacentral:rRNA from 1 species